rnacentral:lncRNA from 1 species
AUAGUGUAGGAGAGCGAUUAGCGUAGCGUUCUUCUAGGACUUCGAGCAGAUGAGCGCCAGACAGGGCUGGGUGGGGGUGUUAGAAAUGGCCCAGGUAGAGGAAGGAGACCGGGUCUCAAGGAGAAAAGGCCACUUUUUAGGAAUCUCUAGCGAGCUGAGCGGGGUAUGGAGGGGGAAGAGAAAAGAGGGGAGGGUGGAGGAAAAGAGUUGUGAGGGUUGAGUCGGCUGCUUUGAGAGUUGCUAUAGUGAGAUGUAGAAGUCACGGUCUAAGUUGAGCCACGGCUGGGUGGACGAGGAGAGAAAGGAAGCGUGUAUUCUGAAAGGGCACCCCCUGACAUUCGGGCUCAGGGAGGCGAAGGGGUGCCCUGGUUUGUAUGGAGGGAGGAGAAAGUAGUGCUGCAAGGGGAGGCUGUUCCAUAGACGGGACUGAGACUCAAACGUCCCCGGCGCCUUGUAUUGGCGUAGCCUGAGAGGGAAGGAGCAGAUGGCUCCGUUUAUAGAAGGAUAUCGGAGAAACUAGAAUGCUGGGUUUGCUCGGGCUGGUUUGGGGGGGGAGGGCAGCUCGAACAUAUCAUGCCAGCAGUCACUUUUUUUUCCAGGCGAAGGGUCUGUGGACCAUCCUGGGGGUGUGAGACUGGCAAAAAGCCCCAGGAGGUGCUGCUGAGCACAGACCUUGUGGAAAAGAACUUAGCUCCUGGAGGCUCAGGGUGGUAUGUAAUGUGUUGGCGAGACGGGGCGUUCCCAAGCCAGGGAGGGCUGUAUACAGUGCUCCUGGGGGCUCCCGGACAGCUCCACUAGGUAGGGUUGUUGUAAGCACUUACUCAAGUGAUGCCUAGUGCGCUGCAGGGAGAAAAGUGCUUGUAAGUUGCUGGGCCGGGCAAGGGGAGGGGGUGAAAUUGACACGUUUUCUCUUGCAGAUGGCAGGAUUCUGCGUGGGGAACCUCUUUCCUAUUCUAGGUUGGAAGCUAACCUCUUUAGGUGUGACGUAACCAUCUGCUCCCUCUACCUCUGCUUCUCCUUCCUUUAGAGCAGUCGAUAAGUUCAGGUUUUAAGUUCUUUCUGGUUCUGGUGAGGCGUAAGUAAAUGAGGGGAAUAUGGCCUAUCGGUGGUACGUCAUUGGCUUGGAACUGAGCUGACUUAGCAGCCGCGGGGCGUGCUGUGGCCCCCCCCCAGGCUUUGGGUGGGGCAGAAUUGUAAGGUUGGAGGCGCCCCACCCCAUAUCCGGAAUGGGACAGGAAGCUUCUUCAAGGAGCUCUGGGUAUUGAGAGAUGGAGUGGGGGUGGGGGGACGCCAGCAAACAGACUUUCCCCCCCUACUUGAGCUGACUGGUCGGGCUGGGUGGCUUUAAGCAACCUGAUUUCUAGCUGCUACAUUCCUGAGGGCCUUUUCCAGUAAAGUAAAUGCUUUUUGGAACCUGAUUGAUUAUAGUGUUCAUCCGGACCAUCUGCUGACCCCAUCAGAAAUGGAGGGAGCAGUUUGCCCAUUGAACCCCUAGCGAGCAGAGCAGCAGGGAGAGAGCCGAACCAGAAAGCUUGUUUCCUUGUCUUCAGAGCCUUUGAGGAAGUUCUGGUGUUGAGGUUGCCACAUUUUAAGUUCUCGGCGGAGUUAAUUCCUCCCCAGCUGUCUGAGCAACCUCAGGAAAGAGUGGAGCCAGUGCACGGCCUGCGCCUGCGCCGCGGGUGUGUUGAGGCCCAGAGCCCUUCGGGGGGUGGGGUUUGCUGGCACGGGCCACCUUCCGAGCGGAAGCUUCGCCUAAGUAAUGACCAGUUGGGUGCCACGAACUUGUAGCAGCAAGACGACACAGCAGUAAACUGGGCCGACGCUACCAACCGCUGUAAGAAUAAGAGCAAAGAUUGCCCGCGAUGGACCCCGCCACCGCGAGGCCUCGUGCGGACGGCCAGAUGAACUGAAGGGCAGGCACUCUCGCGAGAGCUAAAUCGUGCUGGAGGGAGAGGGCGGGUUUAGGCGGGGAAGGGUCGGGCUGACUCCAGGCUUAGAGAAGUAGUGAAAUUGGGGGGGGGGCGGGGAUCGCUAUGGGUCAGUCAUUGGCUCUUCGGCUUCAGAUGCCAGGUUGGGCGGGGCAUUAAGGCAUGGGAGGGGGAGGGGAAAAGGGAGGUGCCUCUAGGGGGUGGGAGGGCAAGCAUCGAGGGGGAGGGGAAAAGGGAGGUGCCUCUAGAGGGAGGAAGGACAAGUAUCGAGGGGAAGGGGAAGUGCCUCUAGAGGGGUGGGAGGGGCAAGCAUCGAGGGGGAGGGGAAAAGGGAGGUGCCUCUAGAGGGAGGGAGGAAGGACAAGUAUCGAGGGGGAGGGGAAAGGGAAGUGCCUCUAGAGGGGUGGGAGGGGCAAGCAUCUUUGGGGGCGCGGGCGAGAACUCUAGCCCUGGUUUUGGAACCGGAGAUGUAGGUUUAUUAAACGAGGGAGGGCAGGGUUGGCUUGGGUUUUUCUGUAAUGAAAUGGCAAACGGGAGGAAACCCCGAGUACUCUUUAAAAGGAAAGAAGCUCCCCUGAGACUGCUUGGUGUUCUCCGGGCAAACCAUGGGAAUCCACAGAGUGGAGGGCAGCCUGGAGGCCUCGUGAAGGCGAUCCUGUGUUGCUAGUGAACCCGGUGGGAGCAGGGCUUGUUGGAAGGGUUUUUAAGUGCUGGAAGGCCAGCCGCGGGGCUCUGCUUGUAACGGCGAUCGCGGCUCAUUGUAAACCAUAAUAAAGGACUCCAGAACCACCUGUGCUGUGAACUUGGGGAAGGCGGCGCUCUUGGGCUUUUGGACUGAUUUUCUCUGUAACCAGCCGAAUGUGAACGGGACUUUGGGGACUGGAAACCGAGGGUCGAUUUUGUCCAUUGGAGACGUCCUUGUUAGCUCUUAGCUCGCUGGUGCGGGUGGUUUUUGCAGUCUUAUUUUGUGAUGAAAUGACCGAAAGGGUAGAGAAGUGACUUUGUAUCGUGUUCUUCCACCAAAACAGCCUUCCAGUGGGGCGUCCAAGAUGGGACCUAGAGAGCCCCUUGGCCCACGCUUUGGCCCUGGGACUGUGGAUGGGCCGUUUUGGUGCAUGAUACAAACUGCUUAGGAAAGGGUAGACGCUACCGGGGGAGGGGGGGGUGCGGUUGCUAAGAAUGUUCUGUACUUCCCAAGAGCUGGUAUGUUUUGUACAUGACUAACGUUUUUCUCCCUUGAACAGCACCAAUAAAAGUUUGAAAGUUU